AGAGUUUGAUCCUGGCUCAGGACGAACGCUGGCGGCGUGCUUAACACAUGCAAGUCGAGCGGAAAGGCCCUUCGGGGUACUCGAGCGGCGAACGGGUGAGUAACACGUGAGCAACCUGCCCCUGGCUCUGGGAUAGCUCCGGGAAACCGGGAUUAAUACCGGAUAUGACUGCGCCCCGCAUGGGGGGUGGUGGAAAGGUU
rnacentral:rRNA from 1 species